AGAGGCGCAAUAAAUCAACGACACUUGGUUGGAUUUCGGAAGGUCCUUAGCAAUCCGCCCCUUCGGGGAGCGGGUUGCUGGCCUCCUAUGUUCCUAACGGUCCUCGUCCGCGAGGGCGGGGAAUCAACCGCUAGGAUCGUUUACUUUGAGGAAAUUAGAGUGUUCAAAGCAGGCGUAACUCGCCUCCGAAUACGUUAGCAUGGGAUAAUGGAAUACGACUUCGGUCUUGUUUCGUUGGUUUCGCUUGGCUGAAGUAAUGAUUGAUAGGGACAGUUGGGGGCAUUAGUAUUUAGUUGUCAGAGGUGAAAUUCUAGGAUUUACUAAAGACUGACCAAUGCGAAAGCAUUUGCCAAGGAUGUUUUCAUUAAUCAAGAACGAAAGUAGGGGGAUCGAAGACGAUCAGAUACCGUCGUAGUCUCUACCGUAAACUAUGCCGACCAGGGAUCCGGAGAGUUUGCAUGGAUGACUCCCCGGGCACCUUGUGAGAAAUCAUAAGUGUUUGGGUUUUGGGGGGAGUAUGGUCGCAAGGCUGAAACUUAAAGGAAUUGACGGAAGGGCACCACCAGGAGUGGAACCUGCGGCUUAAUUUGACUCAACACGGGGAAACUUACGAGGUCAGGACACUGUGAGGAUUGACAGAUUGAAAGCUCUUUCUUCUUUCUCUAAAAC
rnacentral:rRNA from 1 species